UAUUGGAAAUGGGAAACAAUUGCUGGGGUGGCUACUGGUUUUUCAACCUCCUUAACAUCAAUGAGUUUUAUUAGACUCUUUCAACAGAUGAAAUCUCGGCAUUGGUUGCGUCCAACCAGGAUCCUUCCUUGCACCGAUCUUGUUGAAUAUUGUACUUAGCAGAAAAAGAGAAAAACGUUUGCUCGGCAAGUAAGUGUUUGGUUUUUGUGUGGAAUAGAGGGACGUAUGUAGUGAAGGGGAAGUUACAGCAAGAGGCAAUUGGAAAUGCUGCUGUUGAUGUCUUAA